rnacentral:piRNA from 1 species
UCACGGUGUGGUAGUUUGUUCUUUUGC